GUGUCAGCCGCCGCGGUAAUACGUAGGGGGCAAGCGUUGUCCGGAAUUAUUGGGCGUAAAGGGCGCGUAGGCGGAUCAUUAAGUCCGGUGUGAAAGAUCAGGGCUCAACCCUGAGAGUGCAUCGGAAACUGGUGAUCUUGAGGACAGGAGAGGAAAGUGGAAUUCCACGUGUAGCGGUGAAAUGCGUAGAUAUGUGGAGGAACACCAGUGGCGAAGGCGACUUUCUGGACUGUAACUGACGCUGAGGCGCGAAAGCGUGGGGAGCAAACAGGAUUAGAUACCCUGGUAGUCCACGCCGUAAACGAUGAGUGCUAGGUGUAGAGGGUAUCGACCCCUUCUGUGCCGCAGUUAACACAAUAAGCACUCCGCCUGGGGAGUACGGCCGCAAGGUUGAA
rnacentral:rRNA from 1 species